GGCUCAGGAUGAACGCUGGCGGCGUGCCUAAUACAUGCAAGUCGAACGCACAGCGAAAGGUGCUUGCACCUUUCAAGUGAGUGGCGAACGGGUGAGUAACACGUGGAUAACCUACCUCAAGGUCGGGGAUAACAUUUGGAAACAGAUGCUAAUACCGAAUAAAACUUCGUAUCGCAUGAUACAAGGUUAAAAGGCGCUACGGCGUCACCUAGAGAUGGAUCCGCGGUGCAUUAGUUAGUUGGUGGGGUAAAGGCCUACCAAGACAAUGAUGCAUAGCCGAGUUGAGAGACUGAUCGGCCACAUUGGGACUGAGACACGGCCCAAACUCCUACGGGAGGCUGCAGUAGGGAAUCUUCCACAAUGGGCGAAAGCCUGAUGGAGCAACGCCGCGUGUGUGAUGAAGGCUUUCGGGUCGUAAAGCACUGUUGUAUGGGAAGAACAGCUAGAGUAGGGAAUGACUUUAGUUUGACGGUACCAUACCAGAAAGGGACGGCUAAAUACGUG
rnacentral:rRNA from 1 species